rnacentral:rRNA from 1 species
UACGGAGGGUGCAAGCGUUAAUCGGAAUAACUGGGCGUAAAGCGCACGCAGGCGGUCGGAUAAGUCAGAUGUGAAAGCCCCGGGCUCAACCUGGGAACUGCAUUUGAAACUGUUCGACUAGAGUCUUGUAGAGGGGGGUAGAAUUCCAGGUGUAGCGGUGAAAUGCGUAGAGAUCUGGAGGAAUACCGGUGGCGAAGGCGGCCCCCUGGACAAAGACUGACGCUCAGGUGCGAAAGCGUGGGGAGCAAACAGGAUUAGAUACCCUGGUAGUCCACGCUGUAAACGAUGUCAACUUGGAGUCUGUGCCAUUGAGCGUGGGCUCCGAAGCUAACGCGAUAAGUUGACCGCCUGGGGAGUACGGCCGCAAGGUUAAA